rnacentral:lncRNA from 1 species
CUCCAGUUAUGCAUAUGUUAGACCUCCCAACAUUAUCUCUCAAUCCCUGAGGCUCUGUUUGCUUUUCAAAAAUAGUUUUCUCUGUGUGCUCCAGCUUUGAGAACUUCCGUUGCCCUGUGUUCAGUUCACUGAUCCCAUCAUCUGCCAAGUUCAUUCUCCUCUUCAGUCCACCCACCAUUUCCUUAGAGGCCAGAUUUUUCAACUUUAGAAUUUUUACUUCUUUGUCAGUUUUUCCCCACCCUUUCACCUGUUUCAUCCAUCAUGUCCUAUAAACCCUUCAAUACUUUGAUAGCAUGUUUUAAAUCCCUCUGUGUUAGUUUCAGCUUCUGACUCAUCUUUGGGCCUGUUUUUAUUCACUUUUUCCUUUAACUAUUAAUCACAUUUUCUUAUUUCUUCAUACAUUUGAUCAUUUUUAUUAUAUAACAGACACUGUGGUUAAUAUGUCAUAGAGCCUGGGUUUUGCAUUUUCUUCUAAAGAAUGCUAGGUUUUGACCUGGUGAGCAAUUGAACUACAGAUGGGUUACCUUGUCCCUGAGGAAAUGUGAUUUUGAAUUUCCUAUCAGUAGGUUUAUUUCAAUUUUUCCCUUAUCUCUAAGAUGUAGCAAUAUCCUGAGUUACUCCUAAGACAGGGCCCUCCUAGAAUUUUGAAGAAAAGUCUAAAGUCCUUACAAGUCUCUGCAAUACCAGGACUUGAACUUCAGCUCCCGCUUGGAACCACACAGCUGCUGACAUCUCAGCUUCCCAGCAGCUGCUUCCUGCUACUCUCCGUACUCUCUCAUGAUGUCCCUGCAGGAUCACAUCCCCUCCAGCUUCUGCCCAGAGAGCAACAUCCAACUGCUCUCCAGUCCCUUCACACAAUUGGAAAAAAGGUAAAUAUUUUGUCCAGAGGUAAAAUUACUAUCAGGUAAAGAUUAAGAAGCUUAGUCAAGUUAGGAUUAAAUUCAAAUUUAGCUCAUCUCAGAUAUCAGACAUUCCAUCCCAAU